UGCGCUGUGGCUUAGUUGGUCAAAGCGUCUGUCUAGUAAACAGAAGAUCCUCGGAUCAACUCCCAGAAGUGCCU
rnacentral:tRNA from 1 species